rnacentral:rRNA from 1 species
AACGAACGCUGGCGGCGCGCCUAACACAUGCAAGUCGAACGAGAAUCCGGGGCAACCCGGUAGUAAAGUGGCAAACGGGUGAGGAAUACAUGGGUAACCUACCCUUGAGAAGGGAAUAACCCGCCGAAAGGUGAGCUAAUACCCUAUACGCUAUCUUUUUUUCGAAAAGGAUAGGAAAGCCGGGUCGAGGACCUGGUACUCAAGGAGGGGCUCAUGUCCUAUCAGCUUGUUGGUGGGGUAACGGCCUACCAAGGCUACGACGGGUAGCUGGUCUGAGAGGAUGAUCAGCCACACUGGCACUGAGAUACGGGCCAGACUCCUACGGGAGGCAGCAGUGAGGAAUAUUGCGCAAUGGGCGAAAGCCUGACGCAGCCACGCCGCGUGAGUGAUGAAGGCCCGAGGGUCGUAAAGCUCUGUCGGGAGGGAAGAACAAAUGACGGUACCUCCCAAGAAAGCACCGGCUAACUCCGUG